rnacentral:rRNA from 1 species
UCCGUAGGCGGUGCGGCAAGUCGGAAGUGAAAUCUCUGGGCUUAACUCAGAGGCUGCUUCCGAAACUGCCGUGCUCGAGUGUGAGAGAGGCGAGUGGAAUUACGGGUGUAGCGGUGAAAUGCGUAGAUAUCCGUAGGAACAUCCGAGGCGAAAGCGGCUCGCUGGAUCACAACUGACGCUGAGGGACGAAAGCUAGGGGAGCAAACAGGAUUAGAUACCCUGGUAGUCCUAGCCCUAAACCAUCAGGACUUGGGUUUGCCCUGUACGGGGCAAGUCCCGGAGCUAACGCGUUAAGUCCUGCGCCUGGGGAGUACGGUCGCAAGGCUGAA